rnacentral:rRNA from 1 species
GGGUUGUGAGGUUAAGCGACUAAGCGUACACGGUGGAUGCCCUGGCAGUCAGAGGCGAUGAAGGGCGUGCUAAUCUGCGAUAAGCGCCGGUAAGGUGAUAUGAACCGUUAUAACCGGCGAUACCCGAAUGGGGAAACCCAGUGUGACUCGUCACACUAUCAUUAACUGAAUCCAUAGGUUAAUGAGGCGAACCGGGGGAACUGAAACAUCUAAGUACCCCGAGGAAAAGAAAUCAACCGAGAUUCCCCCAGUAGCGGCGAGCGAACGGGGAGGAGCCCAGAGCCUGAAUCAGCAUGUGUGUUAGUGGAAGCGUCUGGAAAGGCGCGCGAUACAGGGUGACAGCCCCGUACACAAAAGCGCAUGUGUUGUGAGCUCGAUGAGUAGGGCGGGACACGUGGUAUCCUGUCUGAAUAUGGGGGGACCAUCCUCCAAGGCUAAAUACUCCUGACUGACCGAUAGUGAACCAGUACCGUGAGGGAAAGGCGAAAAGAACCCCGGCGAGGGGAGUGAAAAAGAACCUGAAACCGUGUACGUACAAGCAGUGGGAGCACAGGUUUACCUGUGUGACUGCGUACCUUUUGUAUAAUGGGUCAGCGACUUAUAUUCUGUAGCAAGGUUAACCGAAUAGGGGAGCCGGAGGGAAACCGAGUCUUAAU